rnacentral:rRNA from 1 species
CUACGGGGGGCUGCAGUGGGGAAUAUUGCACAAUGGGCGCAAGCCUGAUGCAGCCAUGCCGCGUGUAUGAAGAAGGCCUUCGGGUUGUAAAGUACUUUCAGCGGGGAGGAAGGGAGUAAAGUUAAUACUUUUGCUCAUUGACGUUACCCGCAGAAGAAGCACCGGCUAACUCCGUGGCCAGCAGCCGCGGUAAUACGGAGGGUGCAAGCGUUAAUCGGAAUUACUGGGCGUAAAGCGCACGCAGGCGGUUUGUUAAGUCAGAUGUGAAAUCCCCGGGCUCAACCUGGGAACUGCAUCUGAUACUGGCAAGCUUGAGUCUCGUAGAGGGGGGUAGAAUUCCAGGUGUAGCGGUGAAAUGCGUAGAGAUCUGGAGGAAUACCGGUGGCGAAGGCGGCCCCCUGGACGAAGACUGACGCUCAGGUGCGAAAGCGUGGGGAGCAAACAGGAUUAGAUACCCCGGUAGUC